rnacentral:rRNA from 1 species
GACGAACGCUGGCGGCGUGCUUAACACAUGCAAGUCGAACGGAAAGGCCCUGCUUUUGUGGGGUGCUCGAGUGGCGAACGGGUGAGUAACACGUGAGUAACCUGCCCUUGACUUUGGGAUAACUUCAGGAAACUGGGGCUAAUACCGGAUAGGAGCUCCUGCUGCAUGGAGGGGGUUGGAAAGUUUCGGCGGUUGGGGAUGGACUCGCGGCUUAUCAGCUUGUUGGUGGGGUAGUGGCUUACCAAGGCUUUGACGGGUAGCCGGCCUGAGAGGGUGACCGGCCACAUUGGGACUGAGAUACGGCACAGACUCCUACGGGAGGCAGAAGUGGGGAAUAUUGCACAAUGGGCGGAAGCCUGAUGCAGCAACGCCGCGUGCGGGAUGACGGCCUUCGGGUUGUAACCCGCUUUCGCCUGUGACGAAGCGUGAGUGACGGUAAUGGGUAAAGAAGCACCGGCUAACUACGUG